rnacentral:tRNA from 1 species
GGCCUUAUAUUCAAAUGUGAUUUUAGAUUGCAAUUCUAAAGGUGCGAGUAUUCGUUAAGGCCU